CUCUCUCUCUAAAUAUCAUUUCUUUUUGUUUUUUCAUUAUGCCACAAGUAGAUCUUGAAACCCUAGUCUCAGCCUGCGCCGGUGUCUCUUGCGAUAAAAAGAUCGCCUGCGAAACCCUGGCCAACGCCAUCAACAAAAACCCCAACCACGCCAACGAGACUAACGACAAGAACCCAAAUCAAGAGCAUCACGAUGCUGAUGAUCAUCAGGAACCGGAGAUUCCGCCUGACUUGCCGCCAGAUUCCUUUUGGCUGUCGAAGGACGCGGAGUUUGACUGGUUUGACCGCAACGCAUUCUACGAGCGCAAGGAGUCGCAAAAGGGCCACUCCCACUCCAACCCGAUUGGCCUGAACCCGAAUCCGAGUUCGACUUCUCAGAGGUUUUCCACUCCGACGACGACGACUUUGAAGACCAAGACUUCGAUCAUUGGCCUGCCCAAGCCGCAGCAGAAGUUUGACCCCAAGUGUAAGAGACACUGUAAAACCAACACCAACUGGUUCCCCAAGCGAUCCGGCUCGGUUGGCAAAUCGGAUGGUCCCUUGUGCGAACCCUCUUCUCCCA
rnacentral:lncRNA from 1 species